CUGCAUUUCAUAAGGCUACCAUAGUGCUUUCCGAGACUAAACAUUGUCUCCAUCUGCAUUUUUCUGAAUUACUUAAGGCUACCAUUGUGCCAUCCGAGACUAAACAUUGUCUCCAUCUACACCUGGAUGGCUGAAAGAUCGCCACUUCAUUUACAUUCUACGGCACUAAAAGAUCGCUGUUGUAUUUAAAUUAUGCAUCGGCUGAAAUAUCUCCACUUCAUUUAAAUCCUGCAUCGGUUGAAAGAUCGCCAUUUUAUUUACAGUUCUUGCAUGGCUAAAAUAUCGCCACUUCAUUUACAUCCUGCCUCGGCUGGAACAUCGCCAUUUUUAUUUGUGUCUUGCAUUGGCUGAAAUAUCGCCACUUCAUUUAAAUCAUACAUCAGCUGAAAGAUCGCCAUUUUAUUUUACAUUCCCAUGAAUGGCCUGAGUACAUCCAUUGUGGCUCACAAAUUGCCGAUCGAUCCGGCCAGUCCGCCAGUGAAGCAGAAGCUUAGAAAUUUCAAGCCAGAUAUGAGUCUAAAAAUCAAGGAAGAAGUUACUAAGUAGGUCAAAGCUAAGGUUCUGAGGGUGGUAGAGUAUCCGACAUGGUUAGCCAAUAUCGUGCCAGUAUCAAAGAAGGACGGGAAAGUUAGAGUCUGUGUCGACUAUCGGGACCUCAACUGGGCCAGUCCAAAAGACAACUUUCUCUUGUCGAACAUACACAUCUUAAUUAAUAACUAUGCCAAGCACGAGCUACAGUCGUUCAUUGAUUGUUUUGCUGGGUACCAUCAGAUAUGGAUGGAUGAAGAGAAUGCUGAGAAAAUAGCAUUCAUUAUGCUGUGGGGGAUGUAUUGCUACAAGAUGAUGCCAUUUGGAUUAAAGAACACAGGGGCCACCUACAUGAGGGCCAUGACUACAAUUUUUCAUGACCUGAUACACAAAGAGAUCAAAGUGUAUGUAGACGGCGUCAUCAUCAAAUCCAAGAAAGACGCUGAUCACAUGGAGGAUUUGAGGAAAUUCUUCAAUAAACUGAGAAGGUACAACCUGAAAUUGAAUCCCGCAAUAAUAUGCAUUCGGGGUUCUCGCUGGGAAAUUUCUUGGGUUCACUAUAAGUCACCGAGGGAUAGAAUUGAAUUCGUCAAAGGUCAAAGCUAUUCAAGAAUUUCGACCGCCAAAGAAUAAGAAGAAGGUGAUAACUUUAUUGGGGAGGCUUAACUACAUCAGCCGGUUCGUAGCACAAUCUAUUGUCAUCUGUGAGCCAAUUUUCAAGAUUCUAAUGAAGGACACUGCUACCAAAUAGACUGAUGACUACCAAAGGGCCUUCGACAGAAUCAAGGAGUACUUGUCAACACCGCCAGUUUUGGUUCUGCCCGAAAUAGGUAGACCCUUACUACUCUACCUUGCAAUAUUGGAUAAAGAGUUCGGUUGUAUUCUAGGGCGGCAUGAUGAAACAUGGAGAAAAGAGCAGGCCAUCGAUUAUCUUAGCAAGAAGUUCACCUCGUACGAGGCCCGAUAUUCGUUAUUGGAAUGCACUUGUUGUGCUUUGACUUAGGUAGCCCCGAAAUUGAGGCACUAUUCCUGUGCUUACACCACGUAUGUCAUAUAAAGAAUAGACCCAUUGAAGUACAUCUUCCAGAAGCCCAUACCUACCGGCAAGUUAGCCAAGUGGCAUAUGUUACUGAGUGAAUUCGGCAUUGUCUACGUGACUCAGAAAGCAAUAAAAGGAUAGGCACUAGCCGAUCACCUUGAUGAAAACCUUGUGGAUGGAGAAUACGAGCCCCUCAAGACAUAUUUUUCGGAUGAAGAGGUAUCAUUAGUAGGAGAAGACAUUGCAGAGUCCUAUGAUGGUUGGAGGAUGUUUUUUGAUGGAGCAACCAAUUUUAAAGGAGUUGGCAUAAGGGCAAUCAUGGUAUUAGAAACCGGCUAGCAUUAUCUCGUAUCUUCCAAGCUCAAGUUCCCAUGCACCAACAAUAUGGCCGAAUAUGAAGCUUGCAUCUUAGGGCUCAAGAUGGCCAUUGACAUAAACGUCCAAGAGUUGCAAGUGAUUGGGGAUUCUGAUUUUCUUAUACAUCAGGUCCCAGAGGAAUGGGCAACUAAGAACUCCAAGAUACUCCUAUAUUUGUAUCAAACUAGAUAGUGAUUGGAGAUUCAGAUUUGCUUAUACAUCAGGUCCGAGAAGAAUGGGCAACUAAAAAUUCCAAGAUACUCCGGUAUUUACAUCAUGUAUAGGAAUUGAGGAUGAGAUUCACAAAGACAGAAUUCCGGCAUGCUCCCAUAGUCCAGAAUGUGUUUGCCAAUGCAUUGGAAACUUUAUCAUCUAUGAUUCAGUAUCCAGAUAAGAACUUUAUAGACCCUAUGCCGGUGGACAUUCACAAUGAGCCCGCUUAUUGUGCUCAUGUCGACGAAGAAGUGGACGGAACGCCUUGGUUUCAUGAUAUCAAGAAAUAUUUGACAAGGGGAGAAUACCAAGAACUUGCAAAUCCUGCUCAGAAGCGCACAUUCCGGAGGUUAUCUAACAACUUCUUUCACAUAGGAGGAAUCCUUUAUAGGAGAACUCUUGAUUUUGUAUUGCUAAGGUGUGUCGACACAAAGGAAGCAUCUAAACUGUUAGAAGAAAUCCAUGUUGGGUCCUGCGGUCCACAUAUGAACGGCUUUGUCUUAGCCAAGAAGCUACUCCGGGCAGGUUAUUUUUGGAGGACUAUGGAAACGGACUACAUCGAGUAUGUCUAAAAGUGCUAUCGCUGUCAGAUACAUGCAGACAUGAUAAAGGUACCUCUAAACAAGCUUCCUGCAACAAGGUCUCCAUGACCAUUUGCCGCAUGGGGAAUGGAUAUUAUCGGACCUAUCGAGCCUGCUGCAUCAAACGAGCACAGGUUCAUUCUAGUGGCAAUUGAUUAUUUCACCAAAUGGGUUGAAGCGGCAUCUUACAAAGUACUAAUAAAGAAAAUCGUGGUAGAUUUUGUCUGUGGCCGGAUUGUUUUUGCAUUCGGGGUUCCAAAAUCGAUCAUCACUGAUAAUGGUUCCAAUCUCAAUAGUGGUUUGAUCGACCUGAUUGUUUUUUGCUUCGGGGUUCCAAAAUCGAUCAUCACUGAUAAUGGUUCCAAUCUCAAUAGUGAUUUGAUGAAGGCCAUGUGUGAAAUUUUCAAGAUCAAACACAAGAAUUCUACAGCUUACAAGCCUCAAAUGAGCGGAGCUGUAGAAGCUUCCAAUAAGAAUAUCAAGAAGAUACUUAGGAAAAUGAUAAGAGAAACAUAAGUAGUGGCACGAGAAACUAUCAUUUGCUUUAAUGGGGUACCGCACCACAGUCCGCACAUCAACUAGUGCAACUCCCUAUAUGUUGGUUUAUAGAGUAGAAGCGUCCUUUCCUACUAAGGUAGAAAUUCCCUCCCUAAGGAUCAUACAGGAAGCAGAAAUCGACGAUGCAGAAUGGGUAAUAAGUCACUACGAGCAACUAGAUCUCACAGAUUGUAGAAGAACGAAUGCAGUAUGCCAUGGUCAGCUUUAUCAGAAUAGAAUGACCAGAGCAUUCAACAAGAGAGUCAAGCCAAGAUGGUUCACACCAGGGCAGCUAGUGCUAAAGAAGAUUUUUCCGAAUCAAGAUGUAGGCAAAGGGAAAUUCUCUCCCAAUUGGCAGGGUGCAUACAUGGUUCAUCGAGUUUUGACAGGAGGAGCCCUCAUUCUUGCAGAGAUGGACGGACAAGUUUGGCCGAAACCAAUCAAUUCAGAUGCAGUGAAGCGAUACCACGUGUAACCUUUAUGCUUUCUUACGUGAUGUAUUUUAAAUUAAGUCAGACCUAAUUACCGUUUAUGAGGGGAUAUGUAGGCAGCCCUAUGGGUUUAGUCACAAUUCAAUAAAAUUUCAUCCCUCUUGUAAUUGGAAACUGGGGCAGAAUUUUGAGGAGGACCUCAAAAUUCCAAAGUAAUUUCAGCGAAUCAUCGCAGGCAGCCGUCAGAAGUAUCAACUCAGUAAACUGGGGAAGAAUUUUAUGGAGGACACUCAAAAUUCUGGAGCAAGAGAGGUUGCAAUGUCUCGAACCGCGUCAUUGUCAUUGAUUCAUCUAAAGAAAUCUAUUUUUUAUUAUGUAUUGUUGUUAGGUUUUUACUAAAUCAUGUAUGUCUAUUAUCAAGAUUGUUUUGUUUAGCGACACAACCUCGAUGGUACAUAACAUCACUGAAAACAGAACCAAGUAGAAUAGGAAAAGUUCACGAGGAGAUGAACUAACCUUUCCAAUCUAGAGAACUCAUGAUUUUUCUUUGGAUGCAGGCACCCGAGUUGCAAAUCAUUGAACAAAUUUAUACGCUCAUACUUCUCAGGAAUACGACCCUUAAAACCGUCACCUAGGAACAUUUGCUAUCCGCACACAACAUCCCAGCAGCAGUGGCGUAUCUAGGAUAUUAGGAUCCUGGGUGCUCAAAAUUUUUUUGUUAUAAUAUUACUACAGUACACAACUAUUUCAAUACGACAGUGAAAAAAGUUGAUGAGCACAAUAUUGUAAUCAGCUACAAAGCUAUCAGCUAACAGAUUUACUACUAUUCGUAUUUUACUUUUAUGCAUUCCAUAAGGCUACUAUUCUGCCUUCCGAGGUCAAGCUUUACCUCUAUUUGCAUUUUCUGCAUUGCAUAAGGCUACUAUUCUGCCUUCUGAGGUUAAGAUAUACCUCCAUUUGCAUUUUCCCGUAUUGCAUAAGGAUACUAUUCUGCCUUCCGGGGUUAAGUUCUACCUCCAUUUGCAAUUUUCUACAUUGCAUAAGGCUACAAUUCUUCCUUUCAAGACUAAAAACUAUCUCCAUCUACAUUUUUUUGCAUUGCAUAAGGCUACCAUUCUGCCUGUAUUGCAUAAGGAUACUGUUCUGCCUUCCGGGGUUAAGUUCUACCUCCAUUUGCAAUUCUCUACAUUGCAUAAGGCUACUAUUUUGCCUUUCAAGACUAAAAACUAUCUCCAUCUACAUUUUUUUGCAUUGCAUAAGUACCAUUCUGCCUUCCGAGACUAAACACUGUCUCCAUCUGCAUUUUUUUGCAUUGCAUAAGGCUACCAUUCUGCCUUCUAAGACUAAACACUAUCUCUAUCUGCAUUUCAUAAGGCUACCAUAGUGCUUUCCGAGACUAAACAUUGUCUCCAUCUGCAUUUUUCUGAAUUACUUAAGGCUACCAUUGUGCCAUCCGAGACUAAACAUUGUCUCCAUCUACACCUGGAUGGCUGAAAGAUCGCCACUUCAUUUACCUUCUACGGCACUAAAAGAUCGCUAUUGUACUUAAAUUAUGCAUCGGCUGAAAUAUCUCCACUUCAUUUAAAUCCUGCAUCGGUUGAAAGAUCGCCAUUUUAUUUACAGUUCUUGCAUGGCUAAAAUAUCGCCACUUCAUUUACAUCCUGCCUCGGCUGGAACAUCGCCAUUUUUAUUUGUGUCUUGCAUUGGCUGAAAUAUCGCCACUUCAUUUAAAUCAUACA
rnacentral:lncRNA from 1 species